GGCGAGGUAGCUCAGAUGGUUAGAGCGCAGGAUUCAUAACCCUGAGGUCAGGGGUUCAAUUCCCCUUCUCGCUA
rnacentral:tRNA from 1 species